CUGGAUUAAUUGGACUAGCUGAAAAUAUAUCCCAUGUCCUUCAAGAAACUCUUCCACGGACUGAGCCUCACGCUUAAGAUAAAAUCCGCCCAGAUCUUUCUAUUAUUUCUCAACACGAGACUCACUCUCGUGCUGAUAAAUAGCCAGUCGAAACUCAUGAACAACCUAAGGGCUAGAUUGCCUUAUAAUCUACCUCUGAAAAUGACCGACAACUCACUAAAGUUGAGCUCACACUCAUCAUUCAGCAUCAAUCCAACCUGCUUAGGAAGCGUUCCAUCGAUGCCAUUCGGGAACUAUAUCCAGGGAUCCAGGAGUUCCCCGCCUUCAAAUAUUUUCUAAGGGAAAAAUUAGCCGACUUCCCUUUAUAUCAAAAGUUUGUCAAUGCUUGCUCUGCAGAUGCCAUAGAAGAUGCAAAGAGUAAGAUUAAAGAGGAAUUUCAAUUCACCAGCGUCUAUGAAGCCUACAACAAAUAAGAUGAAAUCAUCAUACUAAUGAUUAAGAAAACUAGGAAUGCUCAAUCCAGUACUUUAUCUUCUAGGAAAGAACAUGAUACUGAAGUUCCUCAGGCUAAAGAGACUCCGCAUACAUACAGUGAAAUAGUUGUCAUUUGCCAUUGAUCAAGCGUUGAAGCCAGCUAAAGAGAAAAUUGUUGUUCCUGCCACAAUCGAGGAACAAAAUGAUGUUCUUGCUCCUGAUGAGGCAAAAACUGAUGCUUAUACUACUAAUGAAGAUCGGCAUGAUGUUAUCGUCACCAAAUUUCUUUUGAAACUCUCGCUGGCAUUAUCAAUAAAGUUCUAAC
rnacentral:lncRNA from 1 species